AACUCAGCUUGAGCGCAAAAACUGUUCCGUCAUUACAUCUUCUUUCUUUUCUCAUCAUGUAUUCGCUGUUUCUUAUUCUGCUGUUUGCUGCAUUAGCAAGUAUCGCAGUAGCAAAUUAUGGUUACCCUUAUCCUUAUGCUGGUGCAUAUGGAUAUGGAUACGACGGGUAUGGAUACGGCAACGGAUGGCUUUAUGAUAACUCUUACUACAACUAUUGGGGUAGACGGUAGUGCACUUCAAAAUCCGGCUUUCUUUGAUUUGGACUCAUCAUCGUUUGCUGGAUUUUGAUACCGUUCAUUGUAAACACAUACUUGUAAAUCACAUUUUAAUAACAAUUUCAGUGUGUUUAUUAAAUUUGAAGUUCAAAUAAAGCAUUAAAAUAAAAGAUACCAGAA